rnacentral:lncRNA from 1 species
UGGGGGGGAUGUCUUCAUGAUGAUGAUGAAGAGGAUGUGAAGGCUAGUGCUGGGGGGGAUGUCUUAAUGAUGAUGAUGAUGAAGAGGAUGUGAAGGCUGGUGCUGGGGUGGAUGUCUUCAUGAUGAUGAUGAUGUGAAGGCUGGGGUGUCUUGAUGAUGAAGAGGGUGUAAGAUGUCCUCCUGUUACUGCUAUCUACAGGUGGUUGGGGUGGGGGGGGGGGUGUUACUGCUAUCUACAGGUGGUGGGGGUGGGGUGUAUGGCAUCAGAGCCUUCUAUUGCCAUGUCGUCGUCCCCCAGGUGGGUGUUAUUGCUAUCUACAGGUGGUUGGGGGGGGGGUGUUACUGUCAUCUACAGGUGGUUGGGGUGGGGGGGGGGUGUUACUGCCAUCUACAGGUGGUUGGGGUGGAGGGGUGUUAUUGCCAUCUACAGGUGGUUGGGGUGGAGGGGUGUUAUUGCUAUCUACAGGUGGUUGGGGUGGGGGGGGGGGGGUGUUAUUGCUAUCUACAGGUGGGUGGGGUGGGGGGGGGGGUGUUAUUGCUAUCUACAGGUGGUUGGGGUGGGGGGGGGUUGGGUGUUACUGCUAUCUACAGGUGGUUGGGGGGGGUGUUACUGCCAUCUACAGGUGGGUGGGGUGGGGGGGGGGGGGUGUUACUGCCAUCUACAGGUGGUUGGGGGGGGUGUUACUGCCAUCUACAGGUGGUUGGGGUGGGGGGGGGGUGGGUGGGUGUUAUUGCUAUCUACAGGUGGUUGGGGUGGGUGGGGGGGGGUUGGGUGUUACUGCUAUCUACAGGUGGGUGGGGUGAGACUCCCCCCCCCCCAUUAUAA